rnacentral:rRNA from 1 species
UACGGGGGGAGCAAGCGUUGUUCGGAUUUACUGGGCGUAAAGGGCGCGUAGGCGGUCAGCACAAGUCAGUUGUGAAAUCUCCGGGCUUAACUCGGAAAGGUCAACUGAUACUGUGCGACUAGAGUGCAGAAGGGGCAACUGGAAUUCUCGGUGUAGCGGUGAAAUGCGUAGAUAUCGAGAGGAACACCUGCGGCGAAGGCGGCAUCCUGGACCAACACUGACGCUGAGGAGCGAAAGCCAGGGGAGCAAACGGG